CAUGUAGGGCCCCUGAUUCUCUCUGAGUGAAGAACUACAUGCAAGACACUCCCAGGACAACUCUCCUUUCGGCUGGUUCCAAAGCCCCUUAGCUACCUGGGUCCUACCCAUGAUAGGGCCCCUGAUUCUCAUCUGU